GGUUAAUUAGUUAAUAUUUCACUAUCUAUUAAGUGAAGUCUUUGGCUGCAUAAACUCUUUUUUGUGAAAUAAAGUUAAAUGUUCCCAUGUUUCCAUUUUGUGCAAUUGGAAAUGAGGUGCCGUAUCAGUUAAUUUUUCUUGGGACGUUAUAGCCUCUUAAAAUAAUCCUUCACAAACAGACUGUAUUUUCUCCAUAUUUAUAUCAUAUCGAACAGUUAGGUUCAUAUCCUUAUUUUAAACCCCGAGACUGUAAUCGAACUCUAGUAUCCUCAAACACCUUGAAAAUCCUCCACAAUGGCAUAUAACAUUACUAUGUGGGUAAUUAUCAUUCCUAGCCCUCCACGAACAUUUAGAUUAGCAAGCAACACAAUAAAAAGUCAACAUAAAUCUAUGAUCUUGCAACUUCAACAUAGCAAUGUACAUCUUUAGCACAUAUGAUAAAUAUCAGCAUAUGUAAAGUAGUGGAAACGCUUAUCUCACCGGAGGGAGGAGCCGAUUUGCUCAAGCGAAAUAGCUAAGUGAAGAAGAUACCAUCACCUUUUAUGAGCUCAAUUGCAAGAGAGAAAAUUAAACUAAAUAUCUAUUACAACUUGACCAAGUCAAAACAAAAUCUACUUUAAUUCUCUCUCUUGCAAUUGAGCUCAUAAAAAGUGAUAAUAUCUUAUUCACUUAACUGCUUACUUGAGCAAACCGGCUCCACCCUUAGGUGAGAUAACCGUUUCCACCACUUCUACAAAAAUGCAUAAGCGGAGCACUUGAUUUGAAUGUCAUAGACAUUCACUUCACUUCCAUUUGAACGAUGACCAAAAACUUGAGGGGAAGAAUCUGGCUGCAUGCGGCUUCUGUAAAUAAAGCCUAUAGCUUCCUGGAACUUCCAGUACAUACAUUUCAGACAUGCUUUUGUGUUUCCAUGACCCUCACAUGGAGGAGGCCAUGCAGGGUAAAGCUGUACCUCCUGUUGUUGCAGCCAUGGCCGAGGUCAAACUUGAGCCGCACUUCAUUGUCUCCAUGGAAGGUGAACCCGGGCAAACCCCCAAUCCGUGCAAAACGCCCCAUCAACACAACAUAUGUGCGAUUUGCUACACAUCCUUCUUUGGUCUUUCUCUUAUACUUAUACUUUCACUAUUAGAUAUGUAGAUUUCAUAUGUAGACUCACAUAAAACUCCCAGAUCUA
rnacentral:lncRNA from 1 species